rnacentral:lncRNA from 1 species
AGACAGGUACUGCCAUUUGGAAAGCAGGGAAAGGAUCAUCUGCCUGGCCUUAAAAUGAAUAUAUAAUGUUUCUAAACAAACUGGAAGGAUGUUUUCUGAGAUCUGGAGACAUAGUGGGUGGACCUGUCAAACUGCAAGACUGAAUUAUUGUAUUAUGUCUCUGAUUACAGGAUGCAUUCUGGUACAUUUGAGAAUUCACGAAAAGGAGAAGCAUGCUGCUGUAUACCUUUACCUGAGAGUAAGUUCCAUGGAACUCAACAGGACAUUUUCUAGUGGAGCUUUCUGCAAUAUAGGAUUACACUGCAAGGAUCAGUACCCAACACACUGUCUAUGAUGUGCUUUCCCUAGCAGAAGUGAUGGUGUAUACACACACCCCGUCAUGAACAUAAAAUAAUGUGCAAUAAAACGCAUGUACUAUUUAUGUUCAUUCUCAAGAUCCCCUCCCCGCCCUUUUUAUUUGAGGUAGGAAAACCCACACAAAAUAGCCCUCUGCACUUCAGUUCAACAUAACAGGCAUUUCAGGGAGUUGGACUAGAUGCCUCUUGGAGUCAGAAUCUACAGUUCUGUGAUUCUAUGAUCCGUUAAUGGACUGUGUCGCUGGAACACCUGUAGUGCUUUUCAAUUCCAUUGUUGUGGGGCAAACAUGGCAUCUUUUCAUCCUUAUUUACAAGGACUAAUGAGAUUAGAUAGUAUUGAUCUAAUUCAGGCACGUCCAACUCCCAAGAGACUGCGAUCUACUCACAGUAUAAAAAGACCAGCUUUGAUCUACCCAUUGUCAUUGCCUGGAGUUGUUGAACUUUUUUUAGGGGAGGGUUGGCCAAAGGCCGUCACUCCAUACCGCAAUCUGCCUGGAAAACCCCCACGAUCUACCGGUAGGUUGCGAUCUACUUGUUGGACAUGCCUGAUCUACUUGAAUAAGGGCUACAUUCUUCUGAAGUCGUUCUCUCCAUGAGAAGUUAGGGAGGCAUCAGUUUCUUCUAGACUAGAUUCUUUUCCUUUCCUCAGCUGAACUGAGGGCUCAUUCAUGCACCCAUUUCCAGUGCAGGAAGCGGCAUGAGUUGUGCCUUAAAACUUUUCACCAGGACUUAUCACUCGAGUAAAUGGUCAGGAGUUACAUGUAUUCCCGUAGAGUGUAGACAGUUAAGGUCAGAUGCUCUACAUAAUGUCAUCCUUCGUCUCAGAAAGUAGCUAGGCACUUGGGAAGAUGCAGACUUGAUCCCGGUAUGUCCCACUUUUCCUUAAAGGUAAAGGGACCCCUGACCAUUAGGUCCAGUCGUGGCCGACUCUGGGGUUGCGGUGUUCAUCUCGCUUUAUUGGCCGAGGAAGCCGGCGUACAGCAUCCGGGUCAUGUGGCCAGCAUGACUAACCCGCUUCUGGCGAACCAGAGCAGUGCAUGGAAACACCGUUUACCUUCCCGCCGGAGUGGUUCCUAUUUAUCUACUUGCACUUUGACGUGCUUUCAAACUGCUAGGUUGGCAGGAGCAGGGACCCAGGACCGGGAGCUCACCCCGUCACGGGGAUUCGAACUGCCGACCUUCUGAUCGGCAAGUCCUAGGCUCUAUGGUUUAACCCACAGCUCCACCCGCGUCCCCACUUAUCCUUAGGACAUCUCUAUUUUCACCAGGGAAAUGUUGGGGGGUAUUGAAGAUGUGCAGCCUGAUCUUACACUUUCCUCAGAAAGUUUCCUCAGAAGUAAGUCCUACUGUGUUCAGUGGGGUCUAUUUUUAGGUGAUUGCAGACUAGGAUAAUAUUCCUUGAAUUAACUAAGGACUGUUCCAUAAACAUAUCUUUCAGCCAGUGGACCAUGUUGAUAUAGCCCGCACACAAAUACUGGAGGCAUGGAGCUACUGCCAAGUUCAAAACAUGCAAAGCGUAUGUGGAAUCACCACAGAGUAGAUCCCAGAGGGAUGGAUCCUGGAGAAAGCAAAAACAACAAAAACAGCAAAACAACACCACAACUACUUGAAAUUACUAUUUGGAGUUUCUGUUGUAACCCUCAGUGGAGGCGUUUGGUACACAAUCCUGUGUGAAAAUAGGUAUGUGAACACAGAAACAUUAGCUAAAGUGGUACUUCAGGUUAAGAACAGUUUCAGGUUAAGAACAGACCUCCGGAAUGAAUUAAGUUCUUAACCUGAGGUACCACUGUACUCAACUGAGCCCCAAUAAGCUGGUUGGAUGAGUCUUUUGAUGUACAGUGGUACCUCGGGUUACAAACGCCUCAGGUUACAAACACUUUGGGUUACAAACUCCGCUAACCCAGAAGUAGUACCUCGGGUUGAGAACUUUGCCCCAGGAUGAGAAUGGAAAUCAUGUGCAGGCGGCGCAGUGGCAGCAGGAGGCCCCAUUAGCCUCAGGUUAAGAACAGUUUCAGGUUAAGAACGAACCUCCGGAACGAAUUAAGUUCAUAACCCGAGGUACCACUGUAUCUUCAUCCAAAGGCUGGUUCAAGAGCAGCUUUGAUGCUUGGAACUUGAUUUUGUUUGCAGACCAAAUAUGAGAACUCCAGUUCCAAGGAGAUGAAUAGCACAGGGAUGUUUGUCUUGCUAAGAAAAGAAAACCUUUUCAGUCAAUUACUAGACAUCCUUGUGUUCUAUCUCCGUUUUAAGCCAGCAUUUCUCUCUUUGAUCCUUUGCGCCUGUAACAUAUAUUCUUUAUAGGAAUCAUGCUUCUUCUUUAAUGCCAUCAUUUUUGCUUGUAAGAAAUAUUUUGUAAUUACGGUCUCUCAAAACACACCAGCAUAGAGCGGAGAGAGGAAACAUUCCCAAUUCUAUCAGCGCUGGUGUUAAUUAUUUUAGGCAGGCUGUCAUUUAUGUUUUCUAAAGUGGAUUUUGUUCGUGCAGUCAGGAACAUUGCUUAGCACAGAAUUAAUUAAUCAUUAUAAAUACAAAACCUGCAGUAUCAGCUCCUGCAUUCAGGAAGGUUUCAAGAGGCAAGGUUGAAGGAGUCAAUAGGCUGCUGUGGGGAAUCAUUUUUUUCUCCAUCAGAUACAAGGACAAUUAAAUUAUGCACUUAAUCUUUACAGGGACACUUAUUUCAAGUAUCAUUGGCAAAAAAAAGGAAUAUAUUGGAAAAGGAUGCCUUGCUUGAAAUGAAUGUUUCUAACAACACAUUGCCAUAAAGAAAAAUGUGACAUUAAACAUGAGUGGUAGUGGAAAUAUCAGGAAAAUUAGACUAGAAUUCUAGCUAAAGCAAGUUAAGAUUCACUCAAACGCCCCACAGUAGCAUUGAGCAGAAAUCACUAACCAUUUCAGUCCCAGGCCCUGCCUUUUGAUCCCGGUUUGUAAGCUGAGAUCCAAGUUGCUUCCAAAUGUAGCCCUUUGGGCUGGAAUUACAAUCCUUUGUUCACACUCCCUCCCUUUCUUUUACUAGUCAUUCAGAUGACAUUGUUGUCUUAUGAGUGAUCAUUAGGUUUUUGCUGGUAAAAUGCAUUUGUAGCACCAGCCUGUCUAGUGUAGACAUACAAAGAGCCAUUGACCUUUACCUAAGGACACCAGUGCCUUUAAACAAACACUUCCCAUUGGCAAAUUGGGCCAGUUGCUAUUGCUUCCUGAUGGGCAUGGUUUGGGAAGCAAGCAUAGUGAACCUAUUAACAGCCAGAAUUGUCUAUCUUACAUACCCCACUGUUUGUUUCUGACUUCUUUGAUGGAGGACCAGGUUUGAUGAGGCCCUAAGCUACUGAAGGUGAUGGGGCCCUUUAUAUGUCCAGCUGUCCUUUGUUAAAAACAAAUUGUCGCUGUUUUUUGUGUUAAAUAUAUGCUAUAUGGUAAUUUAUGGACCUAAUAGGUAUCUAAAGCCAUUUGCACAUAACAAAAUGUUUAUUUUAUCAAAGUAAUUGUUGAACUGAAAUACAAUUAAGAAGAAGUAUCGCCAAAGAAUUGAUGCUUUUGAAUUAUGGUGCUGGAGGAGACUCUUGAGAGUCUCAUGGACUGCAGGAAGAUCAAACCUCUCCAUUCUGAAGGAAAUCAGCCCUGAGUGCUCACUGGAAGGACAGAUCCUGAAGCUGAGACUCCAGUACUUUGGCCACCUCAUGAGAAGAGAAGACUCCCUGGAAAAGACCCUGAUGUUGGGAAAGAUGGAGGGCACAAGGAGAAGGGGACGACAGAGGACGAGAUGGUUGGAUAGUGUUCGCGAAGCUACCAGCAUGAGUUUGACUAAACUGCGGGAGGCAGUGGAAGACAGGAGUGGCUGGCGUGCUCUGGUCCAUGGGGUCACAAAGAGUCGGACACGACUAAACGACUAAACAACAACAACAAAAUAGUAAUAGUUUGUUUUUUAUCUUAUAUUUUAAAAAUGUACAUCCAGGUUUUUUCCUUUAAUUUUUUUGGGGGGGCCCAAGAGAGUGGGGUGCUAAGCUAUAGCUUGUUUAGCUUAUAUGUACAUCCGGCACUGUGGGGGACUCUAAUUACGGAUUUCCUCUUUUUUAUUUUAAGAGUGAACUAGCACUAUUUUGCUAUAAAAAGAAAACAAAGGAGAGGAAACCAGUAACUUAGGUAACCCACCUGCAGAAACAGACAUCGGGACAAUUAGUGAAGGGCUUUGCACUAUGGGCUAUUCACCGCAGUCUCAGGUGUGCUCAUCAGGAAGCAAUAAAAUGGGCUCAACCUAAAAGGGGGAAGCUUUCAAAUAACAUUGCUCAACGUCUUUGCUGAUCACAAGUAAGUAAACUUUACACAGUGGUUUGGGCCAUAGUAAAGGGCACUGUUAGGGGACAUGGGUGGUGCUGUGGUCUAAACCACAGAAGAAGGAGGAGGAGGAGGAGGAGGAGGAGUUUGGAUUUGAUACCCCACUUUAUCACUACCCUAAGGAGUCUCAAAGCGGCUAACCAUCUCCUUUCCCUUCCUCCCCCACAACAAACACUCUCUGAGGUGAGUUGGGCUGAGAGACUUCAAAGAAGUGUGACUAGCCCAAGGUCACCCAGCAGCUGCAUGUGGACGAGCGGAGACAUGAACCCGGUUCACCAGAUUACAAGAUUACCGGUCUUAACCACUACACCACACUGGCUCACACAUAGCCUAGGGCUUGCCGAUCAGAAGGUUGGCGGUUCGAAUCCCCGUGACGGGGUAAGCUCCCGUUGUUCGGCCCCAGCUUCUGCCCACCUAGCAGUUUGAAAGCAUGUCAAAGUGCACGUAGAUAAAUAGGUACCGCUCUGGCAGGAAAGUUCACCAGAAGCUUAGUCAUGCUGGCCACAUGACCCGGAAGCUGUCUGUGGACAAACGCCAGCUUCCUUGGCCUAUAGAGUGAGAUGAGCGUGCAACCCCAGAGUCGCCCGCAACUGGAUCUAACGGUCACGGGUACCUCUACCUUUUAAAGGGCACUGUUAAUUAGUUUACUGCUAUAGUUGCACUCAUGCUGAAUCACUAUUUUAAUUCCACUUCUAGCUAAUUAUAGAGAAGCAAUGCCUCAGGAGCUCUAAAGGAGUAGUGUGGAUUCAACCCCAGUUACAUAGCCAUAGUGCCUCUGUUUUUCUUCCUCCUCUGUCUUCUUGGGGUAUGUCUCUAAACGGCAGACUUACUGAUUCAAAUAAAUCACAAGGCAACCUUUGCAGUUGUUGUUCUACGGAGUAGUAAUGGCAGAGGUCAUUAAAAGAGAUUUCUUAGCAUCGGACCAAAACAAAUUCUGAUAAUACUUUUGCAGCAUGGGCCAGGGCAGAUACACCCUGGUGCAAAUUAAUUGAAACAAAGCCUGUUUUCUAUCUUACUCAAAAUCCUGUUCUCAAAACACCCACAAAAGAAGGUGUUUUGGGGAUGCCAACCAAAAUUUAGGAUUCUAAAGAGGAGCACAAAACAUUUCUUGGAAAAAUGUAUCAUUUAUAUUUGAAAAAGGCUUAUGAAGAUUUGCAAUUGCUUAUGGGUGAUUGCAUGCAACUAUUUACCAUGCAUGCACUUUUACAAAUCUUUAAAUAUUUGUUUGCAUUGUCCUGGCGAAGUGGUGAGAAUUUUACUAUUGCCUUGUUUUCCCAAUAAAUUAAAUGCUGUUGCGUGGUAAAGACCCAGCCAGAUGGGUUGGCUACAAAUAAUAAAUUAUUAUUAUUAUUAUUAUAAAGCUUUCAUCACUACUACAGAGGUGUGAACUGUCUCCUCUGAAAAGCAUUUCUCAUUUAUGAAGGAAUCAACCUAUACAUUUCACCUUAAGAAAAACGUCCUGAUUUGGCUAUAUUUGUUGCACAAACUCUCUCUUUACUGGGUGGAUGAGUCACGCAGUAAAUUGUAUUAUUUGAAAACUUUUUAUUUCCUUAUGAGCAAUACCUACAGUCUGUAGUGUUAGAGAAGAACAAAGAAUUCCUUAAACAGUUCCACAAGAUAUCUUGCAGCAGCUGCAUAGGGAUACAUGGAAGCACUUUGAGAAAUUUCACUUUUUGGUUCCCUCAAAACUCCUCAGAUGUUCCUGCUGAGCAGGAAUUACUCUCAACAACCUGAAUUAAUAUUUUCUUGAAUCCCCAAGCCUCCUUGUGGAGAACCCUCUGGCCUUCCACACUUUUGGCCUCCGUUGAAAUUAAUGUUGUGUUUUUCUCAUGCAGGAACCUCCCAAAUUGCUUAGAAAUGUAAUGUCUGCAUAUGGCCCUCUCCAAUUUGAUGAUUGUCUUGGACCACACUGCAGAGGGAAGGUGCGGUUCCUCGCUACGUUUUGAGUGUCGAAAGGU